rnacentral:rRNA from 1 species
CACGUAGGGCGCAAGCGUUGUCCGGAAUUAUUGGGCGUAAAGAGCUCGUAGGCGGUCUGUUGCGUCCGCUGUGAAAACCCGGGGCUUAACCCCUGGCUUGCAGUGGAUACGGACAGACUAGAGGUAGGUAGGGGAGAAUGGAAUUCCCGGUGUAGCGGUGAAAUGCGCAGAUAUCGGGAGGAACACCGGUGGCGAAGGCGGUUCUCUGGGCCUUACCUGACGCUGAGAAGCGAAAGCAUGGGGAGCGAACAGG